AUUUACAUUUUUUCCAGUACAAGUAGGAUUUCUCUACUGCUAAAACUCACUGAAGGAGACACAGAAGAGCAAAAACUAAAGGGCACAUUGUGAU